rnacentral:lncRNA from 10 species
GCUGGCCAGGCAGCCCUGCUCACAGGCAAGGUGUAGGGGGGUAUUUCCUCGAAAGUCUCGGAGCUCAGGAUCACAGCCAGCUCCCAGAAGUGCCUCAGCAAUUUCUGGCUGGUUGGUGAUCACAGCCAAGUGGAGUGGAGUCUACGAAUGCAAGAGAGACCAGAGAAAAUAGUAGGACUGAACUUCUGAGAGGUUAAGCGACAUGGCACAGAUUACACAGAAGAGAAAGAUUUUGAAGAUCAGAUGAAGUAGUUACCUUGGAAUACUGCAGAAGAAGGUAUCCAAAGGUUUAGGGGUAUUGGAAUGUUAGAGUUAUGAUGUAAACCUGCUCACUCACCCAAGGAGGGUCCAGAGGGUACACCUUUCACCAGGACUGUCAGAAAGAAAUUUGCGAGGGCACCUCAGCAUCCCCUAAGUACUCUAACUCAAAUCAUCAAAACAGAGAGUCACAGUUCCUUUGUAAAAG